rnacentral:lncRNA from 1 species
CUAGAUUGACGGGUCCUUCUGAGUGCCUAGGUUGUCACUAGUAAUCUUCUAGUGUUGCAGGUACCUUGUGGCAUGAUUUGUGUGCAAUCUUGAUUGUGAUUGUUUAUGACUAUCAGUUGACUAGUCAUAAGUGUGCUUGGUCAAGUUCUAAAGUGUGUGAAGGUCAUUGUGUCCUGGUUGUGUCAUUUAAAUUACCCCUCGUCACCUGAGUACCAUUUUCACAUGUGAGUGGACAAAAACAAGAUUUGCAGUUAAAAACAAUAUAGUAACCCCACCGUGUAAAAAUAAAGCUCAAGACAUGCAGGUUCACAAUUCAAUAUUUAAUUACUCAAAACAUAAUUCAUUUAAAACUUUUCAAGACACAAGUCAUCUCAUUCGUAAACCCCAUUCUCUCAAUCUUACUACUCCUGCCAAACCACUGAAAAACUCUAAUUCUUCACUCACUCAACUAUACAUAUACAUAUAAAUAAAUAAAUAAAUAAAUAAAUAUAUAUAUAUAUAACUAUACAUAGCUAUACAAUAUACUCAUCACACUACCUAGGUACCGGGGAAACAAUCCAACUGGGGGAUUGUUUGACUAGUCCGCAGGAUUUCCAGGUGAUAUCCUGCGUUUAGGGAUGAGCGGUCCAACCGGGGGACGAAACUCUAAAGCUCACACACCGAAACAUCCAACGUCAUGUGUAGCUCCCAAACUAUGUCCUACGCGUGCAGACUAGAUCAUUACACACUGGAACAUCCAACCCCAUAGGUGAUGACCCUAAACACUAUACAGAGUCUUUCCACACGCCGGAACAUCCAACGCCGUUUAUGGAAAGUGUCUCACACGCCGGAACAUCCAACACCGCGAGUGAGACGAAUAAUCUAUUCUUCCCACACUCCGGAACAUCCAAC